UUACCAGACUCCUACGGGAGGCAGCAGUGAGGAAUAUUGGUCAAUGGGCGGGAGCCUGAACCAGCCAUGCCGCGUGAAGGCGAGUGCCCUACGGGCGUUAAACUUCUUUUGUGCGGGAGCAAUAAGGGCCACGCGUGGCCCGAUGAGAGUACCGCACGAAUAAGGAUCGGCUAACUCCGUGCCAGCAGCCGCGGUAAUACGGAGGAUCCGAGCGUUAUCCGGAUUUAUUGGGUUUAAAGGGUGCGUAGGCGGUUUGAUAAGUUAGAGGUGAAAUGUCGGGGCUCAACCCCGAAACUGCCUCUAAUACUGUUGGACUAGAGAAUAGUUGCGGUAGGCGGAAUGUAUGGUGUAGCGGUGAAAUGCUUAGAGAUCAUACAGAACACCGAUUGCGAAGGCAGCUUACCAAACUAUAUCUGACGUUGAGGCACGAAAGCGUGGGUAGCAAACAGGAUUAGAUACCCCGGUA
rnacentral:rRNA from 1 species